rnacentral:lncRNA from 1 species
AAAGAGAUGGAGACACACGGUGAGCCAUCAGGGCAGAAGGAAAACACCCGGGGAAGCAACAGUGCAUUGUCUGGGGGCAGUAACCCAGGCAGAUGUGUCCACAGGUGCCAUGGCAACUCCAGGUGGGAGUUGACCCUGGAGACAGGUGUCUACGAGUGGCCAGAUUGUCCCACGCAAGUGCGCUGGAGGAUGUAAGGCCAUAAAUGCAAGAUGUGAGUGACUUCUGACUGAAGCUAAGCACACUCAACAAACCCAGCUGCAGUGGAAUGUGGACUAUAAUAAGUCUGAUUGUUUAUAUUCAGAAGGAAAUAGCUACAGAAGAAAUCAGGAGCAUUUUAUUCCAUCAGGGAGGACCCAGCAGAGAACUCUGCUGCUCCAGGAUGCAGGCCCUGGGCAACCAUUCAAGGAUGGCACCCAAGAUGGGACAGAGCUGCUCUGGAAAGGUCUCUGGCCAGCAGUGUGAGAGGAUGGACUGAGGUGGAGGCUACCACAGGGAUGGAGGAGUCUUAGAACCUGCUCCAAAUGAAGUAUGGAUAUUAUGUCCAGAUGCUACCCAGGGGCUGAAUCAUGGGAAUCAGGGAAGAACAGACAGGCUCCCCCACAUCAUCAGGGUCUGGACAUAGGUGGAGAUGAGGUGACCCCUGGAGCAGAAUGCCAGGCACAGCAGAGCCCCUGAGCCUGGGCAGCGUAGGGCCAGAGUGGGAGGACAGACCCUCAUCAUGGCAAAGGGUCUCAGGAAAAAGUUUAACCAGAAUCCAGCACAACAGCUUCUACACAAACAGCACAGCAAAGAAAAUGGAAAUCUCGGAAGCCUAACAUGCAGAUGGCAGCCAGUGGUGUACUGGUAAACUGGCUCCCAGGAAAAACAAAAUUUCAAAAACUGGGCUGUGCGUGGUGGCUCAUGCCUAUACAA